GGGCCGUUGGUCUAGUGGUAUGAUUCUCGCUUAGGGUCCACCCUAUAGCUUCUGCAUGCGAGAGGUCCCGGGUUCAAUCCCCGGAUGGCCCC